UCUGAGGAAGAAGACAUGGGAUUAGAACCUACAGGGAAAAGGCCAAAGAGGAGGUUGAUUUACACUAGGACAGAAUCGGGGAGGGCCAAGAGAGAAUAGUAGACUUAAGGCGGUUGGGAGGAAGAAGCUUUGUGACAUCUUUUUUAAAAAAGUUGUCAUAUUUCUGCCGUUAACCGUGCACAUACUAAUGUUCACUUGGUGUGGGAAUCCAAUGAAAGAAAAAAAAAAGACACAUUCAUAGAUCAACAGAUUUUUAGCUUAUGUAAUUAAUACAAAACUUUGUAUCUCAUUAACAGGGAAGUUGUAUGUGUUCAUUUAUUCAGUCAAGUCUCCUAUUCGGGCAUACCUACUUACUAUGUACCAGGUACUGUGCUAGGAAAUGGACUUGUGUGAGGACAUUCAGUUUCUACUGGGUGGGAGUGGGGGAUGAGAAAAUAGGGGACUUUUGGUGGUAUGGCUGGAGGUAGAAGUGGGACGGUGUGGUCAAGCACUACCUAUAUAUAGCCCUUGAGGGGCAGUUGGGCAGAGUUCAGUUGUAAAUGACAAAUCCUGUGGACUGUGGGAGGUGGGGGCAGGGCCGAGUGUUCCAACCAAUGCGAAGGGCCAACAUACCCACCCGUCUGGGGAAGAACAAGGAAAGAAAAAUCAAGAAGGAGACAGGUGACCUGAGAGGUCAACGGACUGAGCGCCCAGUCCUAUGAUUAUAAGUCCCUGAGCAGUAUUAGGCAGGGGAAUAAUAGGCUUGGGCUUUAUCUGUUAUGGUUUGAGAUGGAGUCUCACUAAGUCAUUGCUCAGGCUAAUCUCAAACUUCUGGGCUCUAGUGAUUCACCUCACUCCCAAAGGAAGUAGGGCUAAGGGCAUAUCGUGCCACACUCAGCAUGGUUUUUGCUUUAAACACCAUGGAAUGAGCUGAAAGGGGGCCAGAGGCAAGAGUGGAGGCCAGAAGAUAGAGUAGAAAGCUGCUACAGAGAGCAGAAUACUGGGGUAGGGUUGUAACAGUAGGGAAUGGGGAGAAGGGGAUCCACUGAUGUCAUCUGGGAUGAGAUUUGCCAAUAGGUUAAAUUUCGGUGUUCAAAGAAAUAGGGAGGCGGGGAGGAGAUAAGGGAUUUUUGGAGGGGAAGCUAAGAAAGGGGAUAACAUUUGAAAUGUAAAUAAAACAUCUAAUUAAAAAACAAAAAAAGAAAUAGGUAAUUUAGAUGGUAAUGUCAAAUGAAUAGGAAAGGUACAUGGGGUGGAGGUUGAGUUUUCAGUUUUGGUAGGCUUGAGGAGUUAUAUAUACAAAUCUGGCCACUUUGAGCUAAGAGUUUUGUUUUGUUUUCGAGACAGGGUUUCUCUGUGUAGCCCUGGCUGUCCUGGAACUCUCUCUGUAGACCAGGCUGGCCUCGAACUCAGAAAUCCGCCUGCCUCUGCCUCCCGAGUGCUGGGAUUAAAAGUGUGCGCCACUACGACCAGCUUUGUUUUUGUUUUAAGAUACAAAGGUCAGUGACAGUCAGCUUUGCACAGCUUGUUAAUGGUGGGAACCAAGACUUGAAGCUAAGUCUCCUGUUUCCCUGCCCAUAUAUCUUUCCACUUGGUCUCAAACAGGUUUUAAUUGAAGUUCUUACUAAGUAUGGAUCCUGAAGAUAAAAUAACGUUAAGUAUUCAUACCUGUUAAAGAACUAAUUUACACGAUGCCAUAUCCCAUUAAAUCCUUGCCCACAACAGCAUCAGGGGUUAGCUAUUAUUCCUGAUGCCAAUUUGCAGGGAGAAGCAGGGAUUUAGUAACACACAUAGAGAGCUGGGCCUCAGUGAGUACAAGGCCUUUCUCUGCAUGUGUUCUGCUGCCUUUAAGUGCAAUGACACUUCAGCACUCAGAGAAAUCAUUUGCAUAAUGGCAGGAUAAAGGCAGUGUAUGAGGCAGGAUUUGAAAGGCAGGUAGACUUUUAGUGGAUGACACUUUAUAGAGAAGUAGCUGGUGGCUGCAGCACGGUGAGCUUGACUAAUAGAUGAAGGACCUGGAGAAGAAUAAUGAGGAAAAGAUGGAGUCUGAGGAUGGACCUGCGAAUAUCUGGCAGAAGUAUCCAUAUUUAACAUGGGAGGCAGUAGGGGCUGCUCAGAGUCUGACAAAAAAAAAAAAAAAAAAAACGACACAUUGAGAGCCAUGCGUUAGGAUCUGCACAUCUUUCAAAGCAGGGGGAACCCACCAAUGUUUUUAAGUAUCUUUCACUCCCACUCACUUUCAGCACUUCAAAGUCACGCUUUCUACUUCCUGCAGUUUAAUAAAUACUGAUCUGUAAGUUAUAUGUUACAAAAUAGUAUUGAUAUUAUUAGUGAGGGAGUCGUCAAAAAAAUCUCAAGAGGUUCAAUUGCAAGUAUAUGUUAGAACAAAGGCCUAAACCCAUUCAAAUCAAGAUCUCAAUUUAAGAACAUGCUGCUCUUAAUAAAUUUCACAUGGACUGUGGGAGAAAUUGAUGGUUAACUCUGAGACAGAUGCUCUGAAAUCAAAGCUGGGGAUAGCAAGAGGUGUAUUUGGGAGACACUUUUCUACCCAGGAUGAAAAGGGAGAAGUCACAAAAGACUAGACCAAGAUUUAGGUCAGGUGUGGAUAUCUGCAAGAAUAGUACAUUAAAACAGCAGAGGGAGGGAGGAGAGAGAAAGAGAUCCAUAAAAAAGGAAGUGAAGACCUAGACUUUAAGAUAUCUGUAGAAGAUUACUAAUUAUUGUUGCUAAUAAGCUGGUCAUAAUUUACACAUAUCUAAUGUCCAGGUAUUGAUGUUAUUAAAGUACAGUGACUGUGAUAAUCCCACAAAAUAAAACACCUAUGCCAUUUGUUUUUAUGCCUGAAUAUACCAGUUAGAAGUUUCAACUUGUUUUCAUUCCAUGCCUUUACCCUACAGUACUCUACCAAACUUUCAUGAUAAUCUUUUUUGAAAAAUUGAAUCUUUGCUUUCUUAUUCUGAAUUUUUGGAUUUUGUCUUUUCUUUUCAAAAGGGCUAAGGUCAUUCCAAUGGCCCAUGGUUUCUCUGAUGAGUUUCUGCCUUACUGCUGACCUCUAUAGCCCUCCCCAUCCCAGACCUUCCAACCCCUAACCCAGAGUUCUCCUUGCCCUGCAGUGCAUCUAGAUACUGCCCAGAACUCUCUUGGAUGAGUUCCUUAGUAAACAUCCACACUGCUCUGUUCCUUUCACAAUUACACAAGUUCCACUGGCUGAGACGUUCUCUCUGACAUUCAAAAAACCAGAAAGCACUCGGACUUUGAAGCACACAGCCUGCAUUUCUAGGCCUCUUAUCCUGUUUUUAUUUCCUCUGGGAGUAUCACAUGAUAUCUCUAUCCUUCCAUCUCACUCUCAACUCUAUUCCUAUGUCUAUGGUUUUUUUUGCCUCUUCCUCAUCUGAAAAUGUAAAUUCCUUAUGAACAAAACCAGAUUUGUUCUGGGCUAUAUGCCCAGUAUCAAGAGCAUGGCCUGCCACACACUAUUCAGUGUGUUGCACCAUUGUGUGAAUGAAUGACAAGGAAUAAAUGAAUGAACUAAUAUGAAUCUGUCCAAGAGGGAAGCAAAGACUGUUAUUUGGAAAUCUAGCCUAACAGGCUUUUCUAGAUUGAUCGUAGGUACCUCUUAUUUUAGAGGUCUUUUUCUAAUACCAAGAAUAUCAUUCUUAGUUAUACUGCCUUCCAGCCACACAGGUAAGUUAUUUGAAUGAACCAUUAUUUAACCUAAUAAACCGGAGCCUUGUGAUUCCAUCUCUUUUCAGCCUCCUGCUGACACACACUUGACAGAAUUAAAAUGCUCAGUACUGAAGAUUCUAAGCAGAGGUUAGUAUAUUGAGUUACUGCUUCCUCUCAAAGCAAUCAAGAACAAAUUAGAGAAAAUCAAAGCCAUAAAAUGCAAUUCAAACUGUUGCAAAUGAAUUGUGCCAGAGCAGGAUCUAAGGGACCAAGCCCCUUCUGGUCUCACUCUGUGAACUAAGUAUCACAUGUACAGUUAGGAUUCAUGCUCACUUCUACACCGCAAACUACAUGUCUCAGCAGUAAACUUAAUUGUGAUCAAUAUUAGAUUUGUUAAAACUAAUAUAUUUUUUUAAAAAGUAAUGGAUGUCAUUUCUGUGGCAUUUUUUCCACUGUUAAGCCUUACGGCAUACAGCAAGGCAAAUUUCUACCUCUCAACCUAUAUCAAAUAAAUGGGGAAUGUUAACACAUGUAGCAAAUAACUCAACAUCUCACAUUAACUGGCAUCACUAAUCUAAAGCAAAAGAAAAUCGUAAUCUGAAAAUACAAGAGCUUAGUGUUAACUGGUAAAACUGUUUACCAGUUUAGGAAAAAAACUGUCAGUAUAAAAAUAUAUGUAUUUCCAAAAGAGGAGGAGGAGGACCAGGAGGCGGAAGAGGAGAGAAGCAGCCAUUCCGGCCUUGAUAUAUGGAAAACCCAAGAGAAACUAGUGCUGAGUUCUACUAAGAAACAUUCCUGAUUCACUGUUUUUAAUAAUCCGAAGUACAAAACGCAUCAGGAUACCCACAAAUGAAUGGACACAGGGCUUACACAAUGGCCUUCUUUACUCAAAAGGUGUCUUGAGUCACAGCAUGAUCCUGGGGGGAAGAAUUCAAGCCCAGGGCACGCUCUAUUGUCACAUUUGUUUUGUUUUGAAAUAGGGUUUUUCUAUGUCGUCUUGACUGACUUGGAACUCACUAUAUAGACCAUACAGAGAUCUGCCUGACUGCCCCUGCCUCCCAAAUGGCAGGAUUAAAGGCCUGUGUCAUCAAGCCCAGUAUGGUAAUGUUUUUUAUGGUGUUCAGAAUAUCCCAAACCAGUGAAAAUAGUGGCUGUACUUAGUUCUGACUGGGAGGAACACAGAAGAUCCCCCACACUCUCUGAUCUGUGUAUUCAAAACGAGGUGUGCACGUGUGUAGUAAACAUGUAUCAAAUACUGGAAAUUUAUGUUUCACUUUGUAAACAGAGGUAGAAAGAACAGGACAGGAAUCUGAACACACUUCUCGGGAACCAAGAUACUUGGUGCGAACAUUAACCUCAGUUCUAACUCCAAACUUUCAGAACUCGGUUUCCAUUCCUGUGAACCAGUAUGGGGGAAAGAUCAGCUUUCUGUCCCUGAUAGUAGGCAGGAAGCAAACAGAAACACAUCCCUGAAACUACAUUUACCCGAGACCCCAAGCACCCAGGCUCCAGUGGCCUCACAAAGCCCUGAAGAUUUGCUGGGACCAUUUAUAGAACACCAAAAGAGCUAUGAGCUGGCCUUGACCCUUCUCUCUCAGUGCUUCAUAGGUGGCUACCUCUGAGAAAGCAGAAAGGAAGACGGCUCACUACUGUCUUUUACUGUCUCCACUGCAAGCUUCCUGUAUUGUGUUUGAGCCAGGUUAGCUAUGUUGCCUUGGUGGUACCCCACAGUACAAUUCAAAAUGGAACAAUUAAACUAGCAUUGAAAGAACUCCGUGGAGACUGUCUAAGCAUGGGUGAGAAUGGAUAUAGGUGUAUAUAGUGUCAUAAGCCUAACUAACAAAAACUUAUACAUGAUGAAAGGAAAUUAUUUGACUCGUAAAUUUACCAGCCACUCCACUCCACAUUAUUGAGGAGUCUAUGGGGGUGUACUUUCAAAAGACUAACUUAACUCUAACCUACUUUUAAAUUCCUACUCUUUGUUGUUGUUGUUUUGAAUCUUUAAGAUAGAAUAGGAAAUGGGGUUGAAGCAGCUUGUUCUGUUGUUUCAACACUGUAAGCCCCGUCUUUUGGUGCCUUCUUUUUGGCUUUGAACUCCUCCUAGGUCAUAAUCCAAGAUUAUAAUCAAUAUUUUUAUGGGUAUAUGCUUCUUUCUUCCUAUAUACUAUCCCUUGCAAGAUUCAAUACAUCUGCAAGAAGAGGAAAAACACACAAUCGCUUUCAAACAAUGUAUAAAGUAGGGAGAACAGAUAGAUUUUACAUAAUAUAUAAUAUAAAGUUAAUGAAGCAAAAUGUUCAGAAGUCUGAGAUCUGUUUGCAUGCAUAUGCUUGGGUUUUCCAGAUCAUGGGCAUUCUUGUGAGAGGUAGGGAAACCUGUGAAAGUGGGGCCUGAGGAGGGAGGUUGGGACUGUGAAACACCAAUCUCUUGUUCCAUGAACAGGAUUCUGCAACCAUGUGCUCCCACUGAGGAACACUGCUUCCAAAUACAAGGCCAAGUGAUUAUGGGCUGACUGGAGCCUUCAAAACUAUAAACCCAAAUAAGCUCUUCCUUUUUUGAAGUCGGCUGCCUCAGGACUUUUGUUAUAGCAAUGGGAAGCUGAUUAACACAUGGGUGUUUAGAAAUUUUCUAUACAAUCUCCAUAAAUUAGCACUCAGUGGGACUAUAAUCAAAGAAAGGGCCAAACCUGAAAUCAGAUUGUUACACUUCCAGCACUAUGACCUUGUCUACCUGGUAAAUUCUUUAGGAUAUACUUUUCUCAUUUGUGAAAUGGGGACACAAACCCUUUGUUGUAGGUUCAAAUAACAGGGUGUCAAUUAUAGGCUUGCAGACAGUAAAGGCCCUAUACAAACAGGUUUCUCUUUGUUAACAUACUGUGCCUUGAUGACAGAGUGAUCCUGCCCCAUUCUUUCACUACCCACAGGACUUCUUCUGUUUUCUCCUCUCAGUCUGAUGUAUGGAAGAAGUCUCUCUUCAUCUUCUUACCCAAGACUGCAGCAAUUUUAAAGCCAGGCCUUUUCUGUGACUUAGGUCAGACCUCAUCGAGGUGCAGGAACUCCCUGCCUGUCUGCACACAUCCUCACUGAAGAAAGAGUUCACCUGCCAUGAUGGUGGAAUCUUUGUCAACAUCACUGCAGUCCCUGGACACUAGAUCUGAACAGCGGAGCCAUCCUUAAAGAAAGUUGUGGGCAGGAUGGAGUCACAGAAGCUGUACUGAGAAGCUGACAUUCUAGUGGUUGUAAGUGCUGUGUACCCAGAUUGAUUGACACAAUACUCUUCACUUGGUCCUGAUUCUGGGAAUCAAGCCCUGACAGAACUUCCAAAUCUCCAAAUCUCCUUAUGUCUUAACGAAGAAAACGAAGCAAUGCAGCCCCUCGCGCACCCUGCCUGAGCUCUGAAACAUCCUUUUCAUGAUUUUGCCGAAGCCUUAGCUGGUAACAUUGCUACCCCCAAAUAAUGUUAAUGUACAAUAUACAAGUAGUUUGAAGUUUCAUGGUAUUCGUGGUUUUUUAAAGUCUAAAGAACCGUGAAAUGUUAAUUCUUUAAUUCCACAUAUUAAAAUAUCAUUUCAGGUAGUUAAAAAAAAAGAACAGGGAACUACAUAUUUUCUAUUACACUUUAAAAAUUUGCAGUGUAAGUUAUACUUACUGUGUAUCUCAUCUCAGGUAUGACGUUUUCUGCGGAAAUACUUGGCUAUAUUUAUCCAUUUGACAGCAUGCCCUUUCAAUGGUCCGCUCAGAACAUCUCCAUCUUAUUAUUUCUUGUCUUUUUCUUCUGUUUUGUGUAUGGCCCUAUUUUGGUUAAUGUUCCUUUCAGCAGUGUCUGUUUGAUUGAUGGGUGUGUAUGUGUGGGUGUGUUUAACUAUAUGUCCCAUGUAUACACUUUAAAUGGUUCAUCUCUAGAUUACAAUAUAGGUGUCACACUUGAUGUGUAUUGCUAUUAUUUCAGUUGGAAUAGAAAGACCUUAACAUAUAUGCACCUUUGUCCACCUUCUUCAUGUAGUUUUUGCAUAUCAUAUACACUGAAAGCCUCACCAGGUAAUACUAGGACUUUUUUUCUCUAAACUUUACAUAUAUGCGAACGUCAUACCGGAGAUGAGAUACACAGUAUCAAAUGAGAUUAGAAGCACUCUUCAGAUAGUCAGCUUUUCUAUUCUUUUUUUCUUUCUUUCUUUCUUUCUUUCUUUCUUUCUUUCUUUCUUUCUUUCUUUCUUUCUUUCAAGAUUUAUUUAUUUUAUGUGAAUAUACUGUCUCUCUCUUCAGACACACUAAAAGAAGGCAUCAGAUCCUAUUACAGAUGGUUGUGAGUCACCAUGUAGUUGCUGGGACUUGAACUCAGGACCUCUGGAAGAGCAGUCAAUGCUCUUAACCACUGAGCCAUUUCUCUAGCCUGUAUAGUCAGCAUUUCUAUUAGCCUGCCCUUACUUGGGUCCAAGUUCCUCCUGGCACGAUUUCCACCCUGUCUGGAAAAACAGCUUUCAGCGAUUUUCUUAAGUCAGCUCUACUGGGUUCUCUUAGUUUUCACUCAUCUGAGAAAACCUGGAAGUUCCUGAAGAAUACUUUUGGAUAAAGGCCUCUGUGUUGACAAUCAACUAAUGUUCUCAUCACAUCAGUGUCACUUGCCGAUGGCUUCCAUGACUUAGACCCCUCAGGGAGCCAGAUCUUUGCUCCUCUGUGGGCAAGCCAUUGUUUUCCUCUGGUUUUAAGGUUUUCCUUUGUCCCUGGGUUUCAGCAGUUUGAUAAUGAUGAGCACAAUGUCUGUGGCUUUGCACAUCCUGGAUCACCUGGCACCUCUCUGGGUACCCCUGACUUAUAACUCUGGUGCUAUGCUUGGCUCCCUUCCUUCUGGAACGCAGAUGCCACAAUUCCAGUGUUCCCGAGGCUUAGCUUGCCACCCCACAUCUCCUUUUCUCUCUGCUGUUAGAUCGUUCCACUGACAUCUUCCUCUGUUGUUUCCCUUUUGAUCCUGAGUCUGAUGCUUUGCGUUUUCAGCACUUGUCUUUCAUUUUAAACUUCGCUCUUCUACAUGUAUCUCCCAGUCAUGUGCUGAGCACCCUCCCCAACGUUUAUCUGCCUCAGUGUGUUGUUAAACAUCUUUACAGUGGCUGCUUUGAUGUCUAUCUGAGAACCCAGCAUCUGUGCAAAUCUUGGUACUGGUUUCUCUUGACUGCCUUUCUCCAUCUGAACUAAUGAUGUCCCUCCCCAGUUCUCCACAGGCUAAGCAUUUGUGCACUGUGUGCCAGAUACUUGGCAUGAUUCUUUAUGAGGCCGUGGGUCUUUCGGAAUCCUUGCUGAGAAUGGUGCAUUUUGUUUCAGCAGGUGAUUGUCCUGGUGGGGUUCAGGCAGCCUGACGCUUUCUGUGGGUUGUGGUUUCAUUCAGCCGAGAAUCUUCAAAACAUUAACGCAGACUCUCUCUCCUGGGCACAACUCAGUGAGGAAGCAGGUUUACUCCCUCCUUUGGUAGCCUGGUGGAAUAUCAAAAUCUGGGCUCUUUUCUGUACCUUACGGCCGGCCACUCUUUGCUUUCAUAGUCUGGGCAGAGCUGUUCCAUGCAUUCCAGUCAGGUUCCAUAACUGCAGUUAUGUCAGUAGGAGGGGUCAGAAUGAAGUCUGUUUACCUCAUCUUAUCGAGAACUAGAAUUUCUUGACUAUAUUUGGAUUUCAUAACAUUUGCAAAUGAAAUGGUGGCCUCAUCUGUCCAUUUGCUUCUAACAUAGUUGAGUGUUUUUCCAGGAACUAAACUAUAUAUAUAUAUAUACAUAUAUAUAGUCAGUUUUAUAGCCACUCUGUAGGGCUUAGUGUUCACAUGUGUCCACAGAUUACAUUACUGACACAAUAAUUUUAGAGAGCAGCUUGAAGAAUAUUCAAGAGAAGGCAGGAAUAGAAGCAAGCAACCGCCUUCUCUUAAGAAGGGGCAGGCGCUCGUGUGCUCCUGCCAACUGGAAGUCCCUGGGUCUCUUUAGUCAGGACAAACCAGAAUUGAGUUUAAUGAAGUUAUGUCACCCAGCUUCUUGUCUUUGGAACUCACCAUCUUUGCAGUAGGGGCCAGGCUCUUUCUCUUAAGUUUUCUUCGACACUACAAAUCUCAAUAGGGAGUCCAAACACUACAGCUAAUAGCCACAUGUGGCUGCCACAGGGGGAUGAUCAGAACAAAGACAUUAAAAGUUCCCUUUCUCUGGGGUUCCCUUGGGUGUUGGUUGGCUUUCAGUUUGCAGAUGACUUUGUGUAACCCAGACUGAAUACCCAGAAGGCACAGCAGCCACGAUAUACGUCUUCAAAGGACUGCUGCCUCCUACAAAUAUGUCAGGCUGACAAAGUAAGAACACAAGGUUUGGAAAACUCUUCACAUUGUUUCUGAUUCCAGUGUGUGUGUGUGUGUGUGUGUGUGUGUGUGUGUGUAUGCUUCGAUAAGCAAAUGUAUCAGCUAUGAGUUUUCAGAACUUACAGUAGUAUACAAUGGAGGAAGGCAGGUUGACCUGUAUCUAAAAGUAUUUAUGUAUAAUAUCACAGGGCCAACCCUGGAAUUUAGUCUAAGGAGUAAGGCAAAGUGUCCUAGCUCCUCUCCACAGCUGUCUUUGUACACAGCAGGAGGAAGCCUACACUCUUAAUACCAUGGGGGUCAGUGCCAGGUGACUGAUCAAAGAGAGCAAAGUGAAGUCUACAGGCAGCUCAGGGGACACAGACAGCUUUUAGAGGCCACCCAGGAGCUCAGAGAAGAGGGGGACUUGUUCAUGUGACCCUAAGCUUUGCAGGGCUCACACAGGAUCACCUCUGCUUUGCUUUUUAGACUUGUGAAGGAGGCAUGGGUCAGUGA